CUCGUAGGCGGCCAACUAAGUCAGACGUGAAAUCCCUCGGCUUAACCGGGGAACUGCGUCUGAUACUGGAUGGCUUGAGAUUGGGAGAGGGAUGCGGAAUUCCAGGUGUAGCGGUGAAAUGCGUAGAUAUCUGGAGGAACACCGGUGGCGAAGGCGGCAUCCUGGACCAACACUGACGCUGAAUAGCGAAAGCCAGGGAGCAAACG
rnacentral:rRNA from 1 species